rnacentral:misc_RNA from 1 species
AUUUUAAUAAAUAAUGUAAACAUAACAAAAAAAUUAUUUAUUAAAAUAUACACAUAACAAAGAAGACGGAAAGCUCCUCUCUCACAAGCCAGGCUAUCUCGCCACCUGCUAUACCUUUGAAUAUUUCAAAGGUCUUUUUUGAGAAGUAUUUCAAAGGUCCGUCUUCUUGACACUACCGGCGACAAGAGACAUUUUUACAACGAAAGAGUUCGAUAAUAGAAAGCUUGUGAUAUGAUCCAAAAACAAAUCGGGACAGCUAAAGGUCUUGGCUGGUACAAGCAAAAACUCGGUCUCCUUGAGCCCAUCCAGCUUCUUUCAGGUACUACAACAUAUUAAAAAGAUUGCACAUGUCAAAAUGACUAUUACCAUAUCCAAAUUUCGAUUGUUUCCUACUUUCCUUUUAUCUUCAACAGUUGUUUCCUUUUUCUUAUUUGAGAACGUUCGAGAAAUCUGGACCGUCUAUUUUCAUCAUAUUGCAACUGUGAGAUCUGAUGGUGAUUAUCUAAUCUAAACGAAGCAGCAGUGAUUGAUGAUCUAACAGACAUUGAC